UGUUUCCAUGAAUAGUACAUUCAACGAUUCAAGCAAAAUCUACCGUUUUCAAGGAAUCAAAAUUGUUUUCGUGUGGGUUGUUAUGCUUUUGAGUGGACCAAACUUGCACUCUUCCUUUCUUUCGAUUGUGUUUUAUUGUUUUGGGGUGAUAAUGUUGGUGUUUUUGAUCUCCGUUAACCCUAUUAAUUCUUUCCGCAUCAAUUUAUACAGAAGCUGUAAAAGUUCUAUCAGAAAUUCGAUCUCCGUUAGCCGUGAAAUUAUUUCUUUUGCAUUAGCAGAAUAUUUCUAUACUGCAUAACACUAAAUUAUUCAUGUAUUAUAUCUAGGGUAUGAGGAUGGAAUACAACAAUAGUAUGAAACAGAAGGAGCGGAACCGGAUGAAGAACCGGUAAACUAGAAUAAUAAGAGGAGGGAUCUACUAGGGGAUCGUGAACAAGGUGCUUAAUCCAAUUCAUGGCUCUUGAACUUUAUCACAUCCUUGAUAAUGGUUCAUUUGCUUCGGUAACUAAUAGGUCUCGCAACAACUAUGGUCUCGAUGAAAAGUACGAAGUUGUAGCAUUGUAAAAAAGAGAAAUGAAGAAGCAUAAGAGACGCUAAGAUAAAAAGAAGAUAAUUUCCUAUGAUAUUGAAGUACUUACAGAUAAAGAAGUGGGAGGGUGCAGUAGAAGGAUUUGAGAGUUGUGAGACGGAAGGUGUGCCUGAUGGUAAGGAACUACAUUAAGGCUUUAAAUUCAAGGAAAAGAAGGAGACAGGGUUAUAUACAAAGUUAUCAAAAUGUUGUUAAAACGAAGACUCAAGAUUCCUAAUGUGUAACAGAAUUUUAUUAUGCUUAAGUUUCUAGCUACGUGUUUAUCAGAUUGUUCUCUUCGUUCUUAAUUUGGGCGGAGCACGGACAACGACAAUCAUGGAAAGCUUUAUCGAAGUCUUUCAAAUUUAAUCAGUGAUAUGUAUUUUUCCUUAAAUAAUUUCUUGCACCGGUUAUGGAGGCUAUUUUAAAUGCGGAGAGAAGUGGUGGGCAAUGCAAAGACAUGUCAAUCAUGCCAAAUUUUUCGUUAACAAAGAUGCCAGUUGCUUUGGGGUUGGUUACAAACAAAAAAGCUCUUCCGAAGGGAUAACCAGUAAAGGUCUUAAAUUAUUAUCAAGGGACCUGCGUCCUGUAACGGUCAGAGAUUGAACAUCCUGAUGAGGAAGUCCUGCAUUUCUGUCAGAUCUCAUUUGUUCAACAGUGUGCAGCUACAAUACUUCUUAAAUCAAUCCAGAUAAAGGUCUCAACUCAUAUCAUCAAGGUGCCCCAAUGUUGUCAUUUCUAAGCUUGAAUAAUAUUUUUUUUUUCUUGAAAAUUGCAAAAUGUGAAACACUUAAAAGAAUUAUGCCAUAUUUUGGAAUACUUGGAUCUUAGUGAACCGAUUAGUUAAAUUUUGCUACAGUAACGGUUUGUAGAUGUAUAGUCAUCUACUUUUGUAAAAAUUUACAAAAUUGCAAGUUAGACAUAUAUUCCUUC